rnacentral:rRNA from 1 species
UCGAGAAUCUUGGGCAAUGCACGAAAGUGUGACCCAGCGACGCCGCGUGAAGGAUGAAGGCCCUCUGGGUUGUAAACUUCUUUUACGGGAGAAGAAGAUCUGACGGUAUCCCGUGAAUAAGCCACGGCUAACUACGUGCCAGCAGCCGCGGUAAUACGUAGGUGGCAAGCGUUGUCCGGAUUUACUGGGCGUAAAGCGAGCGCAGGCGGACCGUUAAGUAGGAAGUGAAAGGUCGGAGCUCAACUCCAACAUUGCUUCCUAUACUGGCGGUCUUGAGUCUCGGAGGGGAAAGCGGAACGACACGUGUAGCGGUGAAAUGCGUUGAUAUGUGUCGGAACACCAAUGGCGAAGGCAGCUUUCUGGACGACGACUGACGCUCAGGCUCGAAAGCCAAGGUAGCGAACAGG